CCUACGGGUGGCAGCAGUGGGGAAUAUUGCACAAUGGGGGAAACCCUGAUGCAGCGACGCCGCGUGAGGGAUGAAGGAUUUCGGUAUGUAAAGCUCUAUCAGCAGGGAAGAUAAUGACGGUACCUGACUAAGAAGCUCCGGCUAAAUACGUGCCAGCAGCCGCGGUAAUACGUAGGGAGCAAGCGUUAUCCGGAUUUACUGGGUGUAAAGGGAGCGCAGACGGCAGGGCAAGUCUGAUGUGAAAGUCCGGGGCGCAACCCCGGGACUGCAUUGGAAACUGUCCGUCUAGAGUGCGGGAGAGGUAAGUGGAAUUCCUGGUGUAGGGGUGAAAUCCGUAGAUAUUAGGAGGAACACCAGUGGCGAAGGCGACUUACUGGAAUAUAACUGACGUUGAGGCGCGAAAGCGUGGGGAGCAAACAGGAUUAGAUACCCGGGUAGUC
rnacentral:rRNA from 1 species